AGGCUCUACAGUCGGCGGCGUGCUCAUGGAUAAAAUUGGGUUCCCCUGGGCCUCUACAAGUAUGUCAGGAGUGUGUUUACUACAGGGGUGCAUCAUGGUGGUAUUUUAUGUCGUGAAUAUGCGAAGGAAAAAGUUAAGCUUAAGCAGAAGUGAAGAAGCCAAAGAAGUCGAAGAAGAAAUCACGCGUAAGCCUAUAUCUAACGACAAGACUUACGGGGCUCUCUUAUAACAUCUUGAUUUUAGGACAUGAUAUUAUCCAUACUAUCAAAUGGAAUUUAUUACAAAACCCCAUUAUUAUGUAACUUAUGUCAACUCGCAAGAAAAUCUUAAGUCAUUUCGCUUAGAAUAAUUACUCAAAGACAUCGAUGAAGUAUUACUCAAAGACAUCGACUCUUUCCUUUUUAUACUUUUCUUGCAACAUGUAUCGUUUUAAACUAUUUGUACUAGUAAUGCAAUGCUGCUUCGCUACGGCUUGACUCAGCUCUCAAGUUUGAUUUUCGUUGUGUUUGUUACCAUGUCUCAAUUUUUGUUUGUCUGCUCUUGUAUGUAAUGUGGGCCAGGGGGCCUGAA